CUUAUAAAGUAUGUAUUUAAGGAGGUAGACCUUGGUCCAGGGAGAUAACUCUUUAAGUCAGUUAAGCGUUUGUAAAAGUCAAGUUCAUCAAUGUAUUUUAAGCAUUUACCUGAAACAGAUUGAAAAUAAUCUAUGUAACCUAGAAGCUUAGAAUAUAUUUUUGAAAAUGGUUGACACAAACGUACUGAUGAUUUUAAGAGUUAUUUCCCUUAACCUAGGUCUACCUCCUUAAAAG
rnacentral:lncRNA from 1 species